UGCUCAGGGCACCUCCCUUCAGGACCUCCUCGCCUCCUGUCACGCUGGGACUGCGGAGGAUGAGACUAAAAAUUCUGACCCAAAUAAACAGCAAAAUUCUCUAAAUUCUGAAAAAUAUGACACUAAAAAAUCUGGCCCAAAUGAACAGCAAAAUUCUCUCAAUUCUGAGAAAAAUAAACCAAAAAAUUCUGACUGUGACAAAAAGCAAAAUUCUGAAAAAGAUGAGCCUAAAAAUUCUGACCACAACGAAAAGCAAAAUUCUUUAAAUUCAAGACCUCUUCAGCCCUCAAUCGAUAACGAAACAAAUAUAACAUCAGAUAAGACAUUGUUAUCUGCAAAGAAAGAGAUAACGUUGCAUGAGAGAACUGUAGAAAAGAACAAAGAGGACUCGGAGGCACUUCAUAAAACAGAAAAUAGUAAGUUAGGUAAUGAAGAUGGAAGAGGUGAAACAGCGAAGCAAAAUGAAAACGACAUGGAAAUUGAGCACAAACGGCGGCUGAUAGCAGAGUACGGUGAGAAGACAGCGCUGCUGCGGACGGAGUACAAGGCGUGGAAGCUGCUGGGCAAACAGCGCAGGGAAGACAACGCUGCGGCCGUACGGGAUUAUAAGGAGUCCCGGAUGGGGAAGAAGCGUAUUGGGGAGGAGCAGCUGACGCAGCUGUCAGCCCCCCAGCAGGAGCUGCUG